rnacentral:rRNA from 1 species
ACUCAAAUGAAUUGACGGGGGCUCACACAAGCGGUGGAGGAUGUGGCUUAAUUCGAGGCUACGCGAAGAACCUUAUCCUAGUCUUGACAUGCACGGAUUAACUCGGUGAAAGCCGAGCCACGCCUUCGGGUGGAACGUGCACAGGUGCUGCAUGGCUGUCGUCAGCUCGUGUCGUGAGAUGUCGGGUUAAGUCCCUUAACGAGCGAAACCCUUGUCUCUAGUUGCCAGCGCGUUAUGGCGGGGACUCUAGAGAGACCGCCGGCGUUAAGCCGGAGGAAGGUGGGGAUGACGUCAAGUCCUCAUGGCCUUUAUGACUAGGGCUGCACACGUCCUACAAUGCUGCGCACAAAGGGAAGCAAAAUCGCAAGAUCCAGCAAAUCCCAAAAAACGCAGCUCAGUUCGGAUUGCAGGCUGCAACUCGCCUGCAUGAAGCCGGAAUCGCUAGUAAUCGUAGGUCAGCAUACUACGGUGAAUAUGUUCCUGAGCCUUGUACACACCGCCCGU